rnacentral:rRNA from 1 species
CAGGCCUAACACAUGCAAGUCGAACGCCCUCGCAAGGGGGAGUGGCAGACGGGUGAGUAACACGUGGGAACAUACCCUCAGGUUCGGAACAACGCCGGGAAACUGGCGCUAAUACCGGAUACGCCCUGUGAAGGGGAAAGGCUUGCUGCCUGAGGAGUGGCCCGCGUUCGAUUAGCUAGAUGGCGGGGUAACGGCCCACCAUGGCGACGAUCGAUAGCUGGUCUGAGAGGAUGGCCAGCCACAUUGGGACUGAGACACGGCCCAAACUCCUACGGGAGGCAGCAGUGGGGAAUAUUGGACAAUGGGCGCAAGCCUGAUCCAGCCAUGCCGCGUGAGUGAUGAAGGCCUUAGGGUUGUAAAGCUCUUUCGCACGCGACGAUAAUGACGGUAGCGUGAGAAGAAGCCCCGGCUAACUUCGUGCCAGCAGCCGCGGUAAU